AGCAAACAGCCAAGUGACGUUUUUUUUACCGACACCAAUUGCUCAUAUAUUCAUUGAGUUUUUUUAUGUAGAAAAGUAAAUAUUGUUUAAGUAAGUAACACAUACCCCAAUUAUCUUUUUGAUACCCCAAUUAUCUGCCUGGCUCAAAAAAGUCAUAUGCCUGGGUGCCAUUUACUUUUGAAUAGCAUUUAGUGAGUUUAAUAUUUUAGCUUUGUGUGGAAAAGAGAAUUGUUUUGUGAAUCCUUAAAAUACUCCUUCUGGAAACGCCUUACAGUGGGAAAAAAUAGGAGCUAGUAACUAUUAUAUUUUGGAUCGUUAGUGGUGUUUUGAGUGGAAGAAAUUUGUUUUUAAAUUUCAGAAACAAGAUCACUUGCUCCGUUUUGCCUGGAAAAAGUCUUGUAUUUUGAUUAGUUUGAGUACAGCUUGUAUUCACUGUGACCUUAAUCAAAUGGACUCAAUAGCAUAGCUCAAUAGAUGAAAAUCUUGAAUCAAUAGUUCAUCUAUUUUGGUAAUUCUAUUUUGAAACUGGAAGUACUGCAUAGAAAUAUUAAACAGAAUGAUUGCGUGGUUUGAUUAUUGAAAGUCAUUUUAUGAUUAUAAUUGACGGCUAAUGAAAAUCCAAAAUUCAGCAACAUUGUGGGCUCUGGUUUCUUCUCUUCCCCUUGUCAAAAGCUCAUAAGUUCUCAAUUGUGUUUAAGUCAGAUAGGUUUGCUGGCCCACCAAGCACUGUUGAUAACAUAGUCUUCAAACUGGGUAUUUAGGUACUUCUAGCUGUAUGGGCAGUCCUGGCAACCCUGCAAGUCCUAAAAUGAAAAUCAAUUCAAUUUAUAUAGUUGGUUUAUUUAUAUAGUACAUACAUCCACAGUAGAGGUGUGCCGAUCGAUUGGUCCACCGAUCAUAGUUGGCCGAUUUCCGUGAAAAACUGUAUGACCGGUGAUCGCCGAUCACUGUCUUGUGUUGCCAGUCACCAAAACCGAUCACCUGUAUCUCACUCCGCAGCCUGCGUAUUAUUUGAGGGCAGGAGGACUAAUAUUCACAUUCGGAGCACUGUUUCUGCUCCACCAGACAGUGAACUCUCCCAUUGAACGUCUGCUUAAAGCUGCAGCAUGUAACUUAAACAAACAAAAGAUUUUAAAUAUAUUAAAACUUUCGCUAUGUCCUAACAUAAGAUAGUUAAUCUCUGAAAAAAACAUGGAUCUCCUCUUCCUCCUCCUGGCAUUCUGCAGAUUUACUCUGCUUGGUCAGAAACAGCCAAUCAGAACCAGCAUUAAUCAGCUAUUCGUGCUCUCAGGAAAUUUUGAUUUAGUAACUCAGGAUUGUUUAUUUUAAUGUUUCCUUUUUUACAUGACAUUAUUUGAUAUAGGCAGUGUUGUGAGAUUUACUUGACUCAUGUAUAAUUUAGGCUGUUAAGAGCCUUACAGUUAAAAAGAAUUUUUCCUUUUGACUGAAUACCUGCUGCGUUGUGCCUGCAAGUAUCUUCCACGUUUUAUGUCUAAAUUAGAUGAAUUUAUUACCAGAUGAUUUCUCAAAUAUAUCAGAUCACAAAGUAACAUUUAUACCCAACGCAAAAAAUUAACAGACAGUCCAGACGAUCAGCAAUGAUUGGUGAUCAGCAGUGAUCGGCCCUCAUGCAUAAUUGAAAUUGGCAGCAGAAAACCUGAUCGGAGCAUCCCUAAUUCCCAGUGAUCCUAGUUAUCAAGCAGUAUCCAAUUUUAUUCAUUUAGAAAUUCUAAGGAAACCCAGCAGACUGCCUUGACUUAGAGCAUCCACGCCUCUGGCUGAGCACAUAUCACUGGAUACUGUAUACAGUAUACACAGUGUGUCAUUUACAUUGCAGCAGUCCCUCAUUCUGAACAUACAUGUAGCGACAGUAAAGAGGAAAAACUCACUCAGUGAAUUCUGACAUCAGCAUUUCUAUAAAGCUUCUAAGAGGAUGGUUGCACAAAUUGCUCUGAAAUAUUCUUAUAGCGGACUAGUCUGACUUAGGACUUUAUAAAACACAGUCAACCAAAAUCAGCAGAUGACAUGGCUCUACAAAUCCUUGCCAAUUGUUGGAACUGCACAUAGAACUUGAAGCAGUGUGUAUUCUGUGCUUCUUCACUCAUCCUCCAGAUUAUGGGACCUUGAUUUCCAAAUGAAUUGCAAACUUUUAUUUAAAAAAUAAUCUUCGAGUCUUUGUUCCGUCUAGACAGUUGUAACCAAUGUGCUGGGUAUGUGACAUAACAUGUGUGUGACAUAACUCUUGACUCGACCUGGUUGAGAUGUCUUGGAAUCUCACCCAAAACUCGUGAAUGACCUGAAUGCCACAAUCCUCCAAAAACUAGGCAUAUUCAUUUAACUUUUUCAAUCUCACUUUUUCUUCCGGCCAACUUUCUAUUACCCGGUCUACAACCAGCUAUUUUAUUGAAAAUAUUUUAAGGCUUAACCUCCUUGUGGAGGGCUUGAAUGGUUGUUUGUUUGACAACUGUCAAGUCAGCAGUCUUUUUGCUAAUUGUGUAGAUCAUAUUCCUUGUAACUUUUUUUAACUGGUGGGAUAUAACAUUCAGAUUUUCCCUAAAACUGAAUUUUGGUUUUCUUUAGCUGUACGCCAUAUUCUUAAAACAACUAGAAAUAAAGUUCUAUGAUAGGUCAUUCUGUGUAAACUAUGAGUUUCACUUUCUGAAUUGAAGUAUUGAAGAGGUUAAAUUAACCCCUACAAUGACAAUCUAAUUUAAUUGUAACUGUAAGGUCAUAUUUAUUUCCAUGUAGACUUGUUAACUUUGGAGCCAUGAGUACAUUUUAAUUGUCCGUUCCAAAAGUUCUCAAAACUUUUGCUUUGGAUUCUGUUUGUCCAGUAUGUGAAACAUAAGACCAAGCAGUUGGUUUCUUAAAGAUAACAGUUCUAUCUGUUAAUACUAACAUUUUAAAAUUAUUUAUUAUUGCUUAUUAUAAAAGCUAAAUUUUGCAGAGUAUGCAAGAUUUUGAACAUUGCAGAGUAUUUUAACUUUGCAUAGUUUAACACUUUGCAAAUAACAUCUAGGCUACAGUUUAGUUAUAUAGUUUGACUGUGUAAUUGAUGUAUGCAGUAUUUAGAAAUGUCUGAUUUGAAUGUACAACUUAUAAAAUUAGCUUUUCGGCAUGACUGGCUUCACAUCAAAGAGUACCCUCCAAAAACACUCCAAUAAGUCUUAAUUUCUGUUGUCAAUACAACUGAUGAAGUGAGACUAAGAAAUAAUACUGUUGUAUUCCUAAUCUGCUUUGAAAACUAAUGAAAUUAAUGAAAAAAUUAUUUUAGUUAAAUAAAAUGCUAUCAAUCAAAGCAUUAAUUAAUGCAAUAGUUUUCCUAUGGCAUGCUCCUACAUGCUUAAAUAAAUCCAAAUACUGACUUUUUUUGGGCCAGGUGGUAUAUAACUAAUAAUAAUUUUGCCAAAUUGGAAACACAUUUUUCAUUAUUUUGGUCAAGGCCUAAUUUGUUGAAGCACCAAAAACCCUACCAAAAUGCCUAGGAAAAAUGGUACAAUUGGUCUGCCUUGCAGAAGCAAAGACGUCCUUGGGGAAUUUGACUACUAACUUUGUUCCCUUGUUAUGUUGUUUUUAUAUUGGGGUUGAUCAAUGGGCUUUCUCAUCGAUGAUAUUGAGCUAAUGCUUAAAGAUUUGAUAUGAUCUCAACCCUCUUAUUCUGCUCUUUCUUUUUUAACAUUUCCUCUCAAAACUAUGUAGUGUUAAACUGUACUAUUUAACCUAUUUUCUUGAUGUCUAUACUAUAAGUAUAUAACAAUGCCAUUAACAAAUACUGAAAUUAUUUGUUGUACAAGUAAGCACUUGUGGUCCUCAUUUAACUUGUGCUGUUCACCUCAUUAGAGUUGGAAUUUGCAUAUCUCUUUCUACCUGUAUUUCUGAUGUCAUUAUUAGAUGGGAUAUGGGCCUGAAGUCACCAAGUUAUUCACUAAUCCAGACUCUGUGGUCGGGUGUUGCCACUGACAUUGUGGCCUGUUUAGUUAGCCAGCCUGCACUUUGGUUAACAGAUAUACUUGUUUAGACUUUUAGCAUGUCAACUUUACUUUCAAAACGAAGUGACCAGCACAGCUAGUUUACUGAAACAUUAAAGGGAAGGGAAGUCUUUAGGUAGUCUGGCAUUUUAUUAAAGUGAUUUUAAGCAAUAUGACCGAAAAUGAUUGUUUUGAAACCAUUCCAUUUUAAAACAGUGGUAUAACUUGACACUGGUAAGAGGCCUUUACCUAGACUCAACAUACUGUCUCACAAAGCUAGUAACACUAUCAGGGUAGAGUUCGAUCUAAUUUGGUGGAACUUCAGUUUCUCUUAAUCCUUCUGAAAGUAUUGAUGACCCUGUGUCCUACCCAUGUAGAAAAUUCCAGAGUAAUUACUUGAUUACCAGGUAACAUUCAUCACCAAUUACACAUGUAAAGAGACAAUUAUUAGUUGUCCAGUUUUUAGUACCCAAAUUAAUUGGGUCAUUUUCUGAGUAGAGUUCUUUUAAUGUUUGUAAAAAAUAAAUGGUGGUUCUAGAAUUAUGGAGGUUUUUAAGGGUUACCUUAGCUGAUUUUAAACAACACCUUUGGAGCUUAUGUUGAGCUACUAAAAUUAAUCUAGCAGUGCCAGCAUUUCUGGUAAAGACAGCACUUCAAUGAGCAAUCUACAUAGAAGGAGAUUUAGAUAUAAAGCAAUGCUGCUACAAGAUGACAACAGACUCACCAUGUAAUCGAGUUUGCAGAUUUGAAGAAAUGUUUGGGAGUUUGGGAAAGCUUGGGAGAUGCCAAGCAGACCAUGCCACACCCACAGUGAAGACAGAGAAGGAAGAAAAACUGUGAGCGGGUGGAUUUCUUCCUCUUUCUCAUUUCAACUAAAGAAACUGCAAAGGGCCGCCCCUAAGUGGACUGGAGGUGCAGGACUUCAUUAUUUUAAGAUAUAUUUGGCGGGAAAAAAUUAUAAAUGUGGUUGUGAGCCACAGUAAAGUAGAUGUGGAUUAAACCACUGAAAGUGCAUAGAAGUUGAUAUAAAUACACUCAUGAAGCAUACUGAGUGAGAUUAUAGACUGAUAGGGUGGGUUUGACACCAUCAUGUGGCCAAAUAGGAUGACUACACCAUGGAUGCUGUCAGUCACCUCUGAGUCUCCUGUUUUCUUUUGAUUUUCAUAUGUACAAAAAUUGAAAAUGUCCCUAAAAUGUGGCAGUUUGGGCUAAAAAUUUGAAAGUUACAUCAAAUAACGAAACUUGCUUCUCCUUUAUAAUGUAUUUUUUUCAUGCUGUUUUGUUCAAGUAUAAGUGGAGAAAACAUUAAGAGCACUUAGUGUCAAAGUUUGAUUUGGUGUUAUUCAAACAAAUAAGCUCUGAUUCUUAGCAAACUUUGAAGAUCGACUAAUGCUGAUGUAUUGCACUGGUAUGAGCAAUUUCAUUAGAAUUGUGGGAGAUGCAGAUUUUUGUGUUAAAGUCGAACUUAUAAAAAUCAGAGUGAUGCAUAUGAAGAUAUGGCCAUAGAGCAGGAGUCACAACACGGUGCCCACAGGCACCCGGUCGCCCGAGGGGACAUUGUCAGUCGCCCGCAGAGCAACUUCUAAAAAUAGCUAUUGUCAUUAGGGAGCACUACCAAAAAAAUAUUUAAUUAAAUGUUUUUACAUUGAAGUAAUAACUUUUAUGCCUGCAGGAUAUUAUCGGAGGGCAGCAGCGCCUGCAGCUGUACGGCUCUACCCACUCUGCAUACCUUGAGAUCCUUUAAGUGAAAAAAGAAAAUAAUUUCUGGAAUUUUUAUUAUUUAACCCUCUUUACUAUUAACGAAAUUUUGGAGUAAAAAAAAGAUCUUUUGUGUCAAAAGAUAUUGUACGUACAGUACAUCUGUGUGAUUCUGUGGGGGUGGGCACGCCAAAGCCUAAAUCUUAUUGGUAAGAUUGCUUUUGUUUAUUUGGCAGCUUGGCACUUUUUCUGUAAGCUUGAAAUGAACGAGCGGAGUUUGAACCUCCCGUAGUUCUUAGAGCGGUCGUUUGGAUCCCGCCAGAGUAGUUUUACCUUGUGGUCGAUUCUGACGGGUCGUUGGUUAAUGAGUUUAUUUGAUGUUUCCCGAACUGGAGAGCUGACAGGUCACCCGUUGACGGACAUCUGCUGCUCUUACUGAGCGUUGCGCUAAGACUGUGGGUUAAACUAUUGAAUCUAGUCGAAACGUUCCCCAAAAGACUAGAAAUUAAGCAAAUAUUGUUGCUUCACCUUCUCCUCUGGACGUCUGACACCACCUGAACCUGGGAAUCAACAUCCUCCUGUUUCCGUGGAUCAGACAGGUAGGCUUCGCUUCCAUGUCUUUAUUAUUUAGAAUCGUUUGUUAAAAAAAAAAAAAAAAGUCGGCUGCUUUUGUGGUUUAAGUUUGUGCUACGCGCACAUGAUACGCGAUGGAGAGGUGGUUGUGCUCUUGCAGGUCAGGUGCAGUGAUGGUUUUGUGCAAUCUGUUGGACCUUUUUUUUUUUCAACAUCUGCUCAUGUUAGCCAAAUGGUGACCUGUCAGCUUUUCAGUUCGCGAAACCAUAAAAAAAGCUAAUAAACCGGCGACCCCAUCAGAACUGCACACACUGUAAAAAGCUCAGGUUGAAUCUUAGAACUACUGGAGGUUCAAACUCCGCUCAUUCAUUUUUAGCUUACAGAAAAAGUGCCAAGCCGCCAAAUAAACAAAAGCAAACUGACCAAUAAGUUUUUCUGGUGCCCACCCCCAGAAAAACACACUGAUUUGAGCUACGUACAAGAUGUUUUGACACAAAAGAUCUUUUUUUUCUCCACAAUUUUGUAGUAGUAAAGAGGGUUGGAUAAUAAAACAUGCAAUAACUAUUUUCUUUUUUUACUUAAAGGAAAAUCUCAAGGUACUCAUAGUGCGUACAGCUGCACGUGCUACUACAAUAAUCCAUACUCUGUCACACUUGUGGGCAAUUUAGAAUCACACAGAAGAGCUAAAAAAGGGAAUCAAACUUAAACUCUGAACUAAGAACUUCUGUAAUCAUAGCAUGUAAUCAUAUAUGUAUUACUGUUACAAAGGCUGAGCCAAGAAAAUUUGUCUGUAUCAUGCAAGUAGCUCCCAGUCUCAAAAAGGUUGGUGACCCCUGCCAUAGUGUAUGAAAUGUGAUUAGGGUUCAGAAGGCAUUCUGAACAUUUGAGGUCAUUUGGAUGAGUAUGAUUUUUUUUUUUUGUUGUUGUUGUUUUGUUUUAAGGUUUGGAGGUCAGGUUAAGCAUUUGUCACCUUUUUGUAAAUGACGUCCUCCUUCCCCUCUUCAACCAACCAUAACAAUAUAAAAAAUGUAAGAUAAGACCUACGACGUGGAUGUGCAGAGUUUGGCAAUAAUCCGAUCAGUUAUUUUUGCGUAACAAACUUCGCACACCUAGUGCUGGACCCUGACAAAAACUAGCUAGACUUGGUUGAUAUUGUGUUUUUAGUUGGAAGGGAAUUGUGGAAUAUUUUAUGGUUUCAAAAUUAUGGGCAACUUGAUUUUGAAGCUAUGUGAGUAGCAAUGUUUUCCUAGACAUAUCCUAAUUGGGCAAAAAAAAUAAAAAUAAAUCUGCCGCAAAAACUUUUGUUUCUUCCUUAGAGCAUACAGUAUUGUGCUCAGAGUUGAUCUUAGGGGCUGAGAUUGGUUUUGACUAAUGCAUCUUAAUGUCUCUUAACUUUUGCACAGUGGCUCAUCUGUUGGAGAAUCUUUCUAGGAAACCUUGCCCACAUCAAUUUUAAUGAUGCAGUUUUGGUUGGUGAAACUCGUAUUUUCUAGGACCAUAUACGGAGGACUAAGGCCUCUGUGUAUGGGUUGCAUAUUUUACCCAUGUGCCACCGCCAUGCCCAUAGAUCUAGAAUUAACAUUUGUUUGAGAAUGAAAAUUCAAUGAAAUCUGAUUUAAUGCUUUUAGUAUAGAUCAAGCCUGCCUUCCUGCCAUGUUUAUAAUGCACUUGGGAAACCCUGAAUUGCUCUGCAUAGUUACCUAGAAAAAAGUAAUAGUUACCACUUUUAUUGUUACCCCAUUACUACUAGGGCUGUCACUAACAAAUUUUGCUUGGGGAUUAUUGUCCCAGAAAUUAUGACAAUAAUAUUGUCAUUUUGAGAGCAUUGUUAACUAAUAGCACAAUAAUUGCAUAACUAUGCAAAAGCACCCUCUCAUAGGUCAAUAAACCAAUUUCGAAAAAGAACAUUUAACACUGGAACUAGAAAACCUUUUAAGUUGAGAGGGGAGCUUAGGGGGUUUGCAUUAGGCACUGUUCACUUUCAAGUCCUCUGAUUGCCCAUGUUGCCCAUAUUAGAAAAGCCACUGCACCUCAGUGAUUAUGGACUGUCAAUAGGAUGGUCCUCAAGCAAGGAAACCUGCAUCAGUGCAUUUUAUGUGCAGAUAUGUUGGUUUUGUUUAGUUGCUACUGUUUACAACAUAGCUGGUCCACAGGUUCAGUGCUUCACCACGGUCAUUCAGUUUGAAUCCCAAGCGCUGCCAGACUGCAGCUGUCACGUUCAGCUUCUAAACCUGGCUCACUCCUCCUCACCAGGCUUUAUGCUACACUAAGUGGUAGGAGACCAGGGGCCUCGUGUAAAAAGCGUGUGUACGCACAAAAAAUGUGCGCGCCAUAUUUUACGCACAAGUCAGCCUGUAUAAAAAUGAACUUUGCGUAAGUUUGCAUAAAUAUACAUACACUUUUUCCCUGGCGGGAAAAUGUGAGGCAGCCAUGCAAACUUUUCUGUGAACAAUAUCAAACUAGAAAGCGUCAAAACUCACCUAAAUACACUGAAAUCUGUCGACAUUCAGUGUUAUUUAAAUCAAGAAGCGUCAGACCCGAUGUUUGUUCAUGUUUGUCCAUGAUUUUAAUAUUUUAUUGUUUAAACAAACAACGAAACUGAACCGCAUUUAUCCUCAGACAAUAACCUAACAUGCACACAAAAUUUAAAAAAAUGAAUAAAAGGAUGUGAAAACCUCACUCGAAUGCAAAUAGUACUUUUCCCAAGUUUUUGUCUCAUAAAGAUGUAACGCAUUGGUUUGUGUGCCGAAGUGCAUGAAAUGCAUCUGGAUGGUAAUUUCAUUCUCACUAGAAAAGAAAACAGGGUUGGAUCAGCAGAUUAACUCCAAACAGGUCAGGCUUGAUUAUUUUUAAUGUGAUUAAGGUGUGUAUACAAUCACACGUAUACAAGUAGCUGCACAAAGGUGAGCUGCGAAAUUGUGGAGUGCUUUUGCUCUGAUGGAAAUCAUCGCCGAUGGAAGGAUUCAGAGGGAGCGUGUUUUCAUAGAUCAUAUUGAUCUGCUACGAAAUGUUGAUGAUGGUUUAUUACAAGGUUUCCGCACAGUAGUAAAAGGUAGUAAAUUAAAUUAGCCCAAAUUAAGGCCAGUAAAAGGUAGUAAAAUGUAAUAAAUAGAAUUUGACUUGGUAGUAAAUUU